rnacentral:sRNA from 3 species
AUGGACCACGCGUCCACUGCGGUUCUGAGCGCGCCGCCCACACCCAACUGACGACUGCUCGCUACGUCCUGCCAGCC